ACAUGGAAGAGAAAUGGCCAUCAAGCUUCUGGAUCAGGCAGAACACGAAGAGAUGCUGCUGCCCGUGCUAUGCAAGGGUGGCAUGAGCAACGCCUUCUUCGUUAUGGUGAGGUUGGUGAGCCAAUUAUAAAGGACAAGAACCUAAACAGUAUGGCAAAACGUGAAAAGAAUCUCAAAAGUAUAGGUAAGCUUCUUUCUGGUUAAUUAUUUUUACAGUCAUGGCCUUCUUUUGUUCUAUGAAAUGUUGAUCUGUUCUUGUUAAUGUGUUUUUAGCUUUAUGUUUAGUUCAUCAAUGCUUUAAGAGUCGUGCAAAUUUACAAACUCGUCUGCCUGGGCUUUUUAACUCCCAGAAGAUCCUGAGCACUUAAGAAAUAAGAAGAUUGUUACUGGUCUUAGUGAAAUUCUAAAUUACUUGAGCUUCUUUGUGAUUA